GGCUGGUCUGAAGGCAGAGACUGACCUCAAUUGAUUGUUCACAGUUGGUUACAGAUUGAACUCUUUGUUCUAUUCUUCCCCCCCCUUUGCCCUGUUGCCCUUGACUAGUCGUUC
ensembl:misc_RNA Y_RNA Y RNA